UACGGGGGGAGCAAGCGUUGUUCGGAUUUACUGGGCGUAAAGGGCGCGUAGGCGGCCACCGCAAGUCGACUGUGAAAUCUCCGGGCUUAACCCGGAAAGGUCAGCCGAUACUGCGGGCUAGAGUGCAGGAAGGGGCAACUGGAAUUCUCGGUGUAGCGGUGAAAUGCGUAGAUAUCGGGAAGAACACCCGUGGCGAAGGCGGCACUCUGGGACGGUACUGACGCUGAGACGCGAAAGCGUGGGGAGCGAACAGG
rnacentral:rRNA from 1 species